CAGCCGUAAACUAUGCUCGCUAGGUGUCAGGCAUGGCGCGACCGUGUCUGGUGCCGCAGGGAAGCCGUGAAGCGAGCCACCUGGGAAGUACGGCCGCAAGGCUGAAACUUAAAGGAAUUGGCGGGGGAGCACAACAACGGGUGGAGCCUGCGGUUUAAUUGGACUCAACGCCGGACAACUCACCGGGGACGACAGCAAUAUGUAGGCCAGGCUGAAGACCUUGCCUGAAUCGCUGAGAGGAGGUGCAUGGC
rnacentral:rRNA from 1 species